ACUUGGAUAUGGAUUCUUCACGGUAACGUAACUGAAUGUGGAGACGUCGGCGUGAGCCCUGGGAGGAGUUCUNUUUUCUUCUUAACAGCUUAACACCCUGGAAUUGGUUUAUCCGGAGAUAGGGUNUUAUGGCUNGAAGAGUGCGAUAUCUUUGUCGCAUCCGGUGCGCUCACNACGGCCCUUGAAAAUCCACAGGAAGGAAUAGUUUUCAUGCCAAGUNGUAC
rnacentral:rRNA from 1 species